rnacentral:rRNA from 1 species
GCGCGAAAACUUUGCAAUGCGGGAAACCGUGACAAGGGAACCCCGAGUGCCCGUAAAAUCGGGCUGUUCCGGUGUACAAAAAGCACCGGGAGAAAGGGCCGGGCAAGACCGGUGCCAGCCGCCGCGGUAAUACCGGCGGCUCGAGUGGUGGCCACUAUUACUGGGCUUAAAGCGUUCGUAGCUGGAUUGUUAAGUCUCUUGGGAAAUCUACCGGCUUAACCGAUAGGCGUUCAAGGGAUACUGGCAAUCUAGGGACCGGGAGAGGUGAGAGGUACUCCAGGGGUAGGA